AACGAACGCUGGCGGCAGGCCUAACACAUGCAAGUCGAGCGAAGCCUUCGGGCUUAGCGGCGGACGAGUGAGUAACGCGUGGGAACGUGCCCUUUGGUACGGAAUAGCCCCGGGAAACUGGGAGUAAUACCGUAUGUGGUCGAGAGACGAAAGAUUUAUCGCCAAAGGAUCGGCCCGCGUUGGAUUAGGUAGUUGGUGGGGUAAUGGCCUACCAAGCCGACGAUCCAUAGUUGGUUUGAGAGGAUGAUCAGCCACACUGGGACUGAGACACGGCCCAGACUCCUACGGGAGGCAGCAGUGGGGAAUCUUAGACAAUGGGGGAAACCCUGAUCUAGCCAUGCCGCGUGAUCGAUGAAGGCCUUAGGGUUGUAAAGAUCUUUCAGUGGGGAAGAUAAUGACUGUACCCACAGAAGAAGCCCCGGCUAACUCCGUGCCAGCAGCCGCCGUAAAAC
rnacentral:rRNA from 1 species